AUGCGGGCGAAGCCGGCCGGAGUGCCGUAUGAGGAGUGCUGUGUCGGCACGCUGAUUUACACCUCGCCGGAGCAGCUGCAAGGCAACCGGCACUACGGCCAGGCCGUGGACACGUGGGCGCUUGGGUGCGUGCUACGUGAUGGCGGAGCUGCUGGCCGCCUGUUCGUGGCGCAGACAGAGGAGGAGCUGGUCGCUGAGAUGUACAAGCUGCGAGACCAGAUCAGUUCCACGGGGAUGCUCGGCUUGGAUUUCUUCGAGGAGUUUUCGGAGGCCGGGCGUGAGGUCCUGACCGGCCUGCUCGCCUUCAACCCCGACGAGAAGAUCACGGCGGCCGAAGCGCUCGACCGCCGGUGGUUCAGCAAGCCGUGCGCUUCCAGGGGAGCAGAGCAUCCUGGCUUUGUGACAUUAAUCAGUUAA
rnacentral:rRNA from 1 species